rnacentral:rRNA from 1 species
UACGUAGGGACCGAGCGUUGUCCGGAAUCAUUGGGCGUAAAGAGCGUGUAGGCGGCCACUUAAGUCCUGCGUGAAAUCUUGCGGCUCAACCGCAAGCGGUCGUGGGAAACUGGGUGGCUAGAGUGCGGGGAGAGGAGAGUGGAAUUCCUGGUGUAGCGGUGGGAAUGCGCAGAUAUCAGGAAGAACGCCCGUGGCGAAGGCGGCUCUCUGGAACGCAACUGACGCUGAGACGCGAAAGCGUGGGGAGCAAACAGG